rnacentral:rRNA from 1 species
GACGAACGCUGGCGGCGUGCUUAACACAUGCAAGUCGAGCGAUGAAGCCGGAGCUUGCUCUGGUGAAUUAGUGGCGAACGGGUGAGUAACACGUGAGUAACCUGCCCUUGACUCUGGGAUAACUGCGGGAAACCGUAGCUAAUACCGGAUACGACCCUCGGAGGCAUCUCCUGGGGGUGGAAAGAAUUUCGGUCAAGGAUGGACUCGCGGCCUAUCAGCUAGUUGGUGGGGUAAAGGCUCACCAAGGCGACGACGGGUAGCCGGCCUGAGAGGGUGACCGGCCACGCUGGGACUGAGACACGGCCCAGACUCCUAUGGGAGGCAGCAGUGGGGAAUAUUGCACAAUGGGCGCAAGCCUGAUGCAGCAACGCCGCGUGAGGGAUGACGGCCUUCGGGUUGUAAACCUCUUUUAGCAGGGAAGAAGCGAAAGUGACGGUACCUGCAGAAAAAGCACCGGCUAACUACGUGCCAGCCGCCGCCGUAA